UACGUAGGGAGCAAGCGUUGUCCGGAAUCAUUGGGCGUAAAGCGCGCGUAGGUGGCCAUUUAAGUCCGCUGUGAAAGUCAAAGGCUCAACCUUUGAAAGCCGGUGGAUACUGGAUGGCUAGAGUACGGAAGAGGCGAGUGGAAUUCCUGGUGUAGCGGUGGAAUGCGCAGAUAUCAGGAGGAACACCUAUAGCGAAGGCAGCUCGCUGGGACGACACUGACGCUGAGACGCGAAAGCGUGGGGAGCGAACAGG
rnacentral:rRNA from 1 species